rnacentral:rRNA from 1 species
GGGUUGUGAGGUUAAGCGACUAAGCGUACACGGUGGAUGCCCUGGCAGUCAGAGGCGAUGAAGGACGUGCUAAUCUGCGAUAAGCGUCGGUAAGGUGAUAUGAACCGUUAUAACCGGCGAUUUCCGAAUGGGGAAACCCAGUGUGAUUCGUCACACUAUCAUUAACUGAAUCCAUAGGUUAAUGAGGCGAACCGGGGGAACUGAAACAUCUAAGUACCCCGAGGAAAAGAAAUCAACCGAGAUUCCCCCAGUAGCGGCGAGCGAACGGGGAGCAGCCCAGAGCCUGAAUCAGUGUGUGUGUUAGUGGAAGCGUCUGGAAAGGCGCGCGAUACAGGGUGACAGCCCCGUACACAAAAAUGCACAUGCUGUGAGCUCGAUGAGUAGGGCGGGACACGUGGUAUCCUGUCUGAAUAUGGGGGGACCAUCCUCCAAGGCUAAAUACUCCUGACUGACCGAUAGUGAACCAGUACCGUGAGGGAAAGGCGAAAAGAACCCCGGCGAGGGGAGUGAAAAAGAACCUGAAACCGUGUACGUACAAGCAGUGGGAGCACGCUUCGGCGUGUGACUGCGUACCUUUUGUAUAAUGGGUCAGCGACUUAUAUUCUGUAGCAAGGUUAACCGAAUAGGGGAGCCGAAGGGAAACCGAGUCUUAACUGGGCGUUAAGUUGCAGGGUAUAGACCCGAAACCCGGUGAUCUAGCCAUGGGCAGGUUGAAGGUUGGGUAACACUAACUGGAGGACCGAACCGACUAAUGUUGAAAAAUUAGCGGAUGACUUGUGGCUGGGGGUGAAAGGCCAAUCAAACCGGGAGAUAGCUGGUUCUCCCCGAAAGCUAUUUAGGUAGCGCCUCGUGAAUUCAUCUCCGGGGGUAGAGCACUGUUUCGGCAAGGGGGUCAUCCCGACUUACCAACCCGAUGCAAACUGCGAAUACCGGAGAAUGUUAUCACGGGAGACACACGGCGGGUGCUAACGUCCGUCGUGAAGAGGGAAACAACCCAGACCGCCAGCUAAGGUCCCAAAGUCAUGGUUAAGUGGGAAACGAUGUGGGAAGGCCCAGACAGCCAGGAUGUUGGCUUAGAAGCAGCCAUCAUUUAAAGAAAGCGUAAUAGCUCACUGGUCGAGUCGGCCUGCGCGGAAGAUGUAACGGGGCUAAACCAUGCACCGAAGCUGCGGCAGCGACGCUUAUGCGUUGUUGGGUAGGGGAGCGUUCUGUAAGCCUGUGAAGGUGUGCUGUGAGGCAUGCUGGAGGUAUCAGAAGUGCGAAUGCUGACAUAAGUAACGAUAAAGCGGGUGAAAAGCCCGCUCGCCGGAAGACCAAGGGUUCCUGUCCAACGUUAAUCGGGGCAGGGUGAGUCGACCCCUAAGGCGAGGCCGAAAGGCGUAGUCGAUGGGAAACAGGUUAAUAUUCCUGUACUUGGUGUUACUGCGAAGGGGGGACGGAGAAGGCUAUGUUGGCCGGGCGACGGUUGUCCCGGUUUAAGCGUGUAGGCUGGUUUUCCAGGCAAAUCCGGAAAAUCAAGGCUGAGGCGUGAUGACGAGGCACUACGGUGCUGAAGCAACAAAUGCCCUGCUUCCAGGAAAAGCCUCUAAGCAUCAGGUAACAUCAAAUCGUACCCCAAACCGACACAGGUGGUCAGGUAGAGAAUACCAAGGCGCUUGAGAGAACUCGGGUGAAGGAACUAGGCAAAAUGGUGCCGUAACUUCGGGAGAAGGCACGCUGAUAUGUAGGUGAAGCGACUUGCUCGUGGAGCUGAAAUCAGUCGAAGAUACCAGCUGGCUGCAACUGUUUAUUAAAAACACAGCACUGUGCAAACACGAAAGUGGACGUAUACGGUGUGACGCCUGCCCGGUGCCGGAAGGUUAAUUGAUGGGGUUAGCGCAAGCGAAGCUCUUGAUCGAAGCCCCGGUAAACGGCGGCCGUAACUAUAACGGUCCUAAGGUAGCGAAAUUCCUUGUCGGGUAAGUUCCGACCUGCACGAAUGGCGUAAUGAUGGCCAGGCUGUCUCCACCCGAGACUCAGUGAAAUUGAACUCGCUGUGAAGAUGCAGUGUACCCGCGGCAAGACGGAAAGACCCCGUGAACCUUUACUAUAGCUUGACACUGAACAUUGAGCCUUGAUGUGUAGGAUAGGUGGGAGGCUUUGAAGUGUGGACGCCAGUCUGCAUGGAGCCGACCUUGAAAUACCACCCUUUAAUGUUUGAUGUUCUAACGUUGACCCGUAAUCCGGGUUGCGGACAGUGUCUGGUGGGUAGUUUGACUGGGGCGGUCUCCUCCUAAAGAGUAACGGAGGAGCACGAAGGUUGGCUAAUCCUGGUCGGACAUCAGGAGGUUAGUGCAAUGGCAUAAGCCAGCUUGACUGCGAGCGUGACGGCGCGAGCAGGUGCGAAAGCAGGUCAUAGUGAUCCGGUGGUUCUGAAUGGAAGGGCCAUCGCUCAACGGAUAAAAGGUACUCCGGGGAUAACAGGCUGAUACCGCCCAAGAGUUCAUAUCGACGGCGGUGUUUGGCACCUCGAUGUCGGCUCAUCACAUCCUGGGGCUGAAGUAGGUCCCAAGGGUAUGGCUGUUCGCCAUUUAAAGUGGUACGCGAGCUGGGUUUAGAACGUCGUGAGACAGUUCGGUCCCUAUCUGCCGUGGGCGCUGGAGAACUGAGGGGGGCUGCUCCUAGUACGAGAGGACCGGAGUGGACGCAUCACUGGUGUUCGGGUUGUCAUGCCAAUGGCACUGCCCGGUAGCUAAAUGCGGAAGAGAUAAGUGCUGAAAGCAUCUAAGCACGAAACUUGCCCCGAGAUGAGUUCUCCCUGACCCUUUAAGGGUCCUGAAGGAACGUUGAAGACGACGACGUUGAUAGGCCGGGUGUGUAAGCGCAGCGAUGCGUUGAGCUAACCGGUACUAAUGAACCGUGAGGCUUAACCUUACAACGCCGAAGCUGUU